GCCGCAUCCUCAAAGGCAAUCCCUUCAUACCCAUAUCCCUUUUUACCAGUUUCUUCAAAUGUUUUGUCAACUUCAAGAAUCGGUGAAUUGCAGCAGAAAGAUGUUGUUUUAUCCUUCAAAGAGUGGUUCAUGACCAGAAAAAAUCCACUCUUUGAUCAGAUCUUUGAGAUAUUACGAACUAAAGAUGAUAUUACAGCUGAUAUAUCAAUGUCG
rnacentral:misc_RNA from 1 species